GAUUAACGCUAGCGGCAGGCAUAAUACAUGCAAGUUGAACGAGAUAAGUUUUAGCAAUAGAACUUUGAAAGUGGCGCACGGGUGCGUAACACGUAUGCAACCUACCUUUUACUGGGGAAUAGCCUCUCGACAGAGAGAUUAAUACCCCAUAAUAUAUUGAUAAGGCAUCUUAUUAAUAUUAAAGUUACGUCGGGAAAAGAUGGGCAUGCGGGUGAUUAGGUAGUUGGUGAGGUAAUGGCUCACCAAGCCGACGAUCAGGAGGGGGUCUGAGAGGAUGUCCCCCCAACCUGGUACUGAGACACGGACCAGACUCCUACGGGAGGCAGCAGUAGGGAAUAUUGGACAAUGGGCGCAAGCCUGAUCCAGCCAUGCCGCGUGCAGGAUGAAGGCCCUGUGGGUCGUAAACUGCUUUUGUACGGGAAGAAACCUCACUACGUGUAGUGAGUUGACGGUACCGUGAGAAUAAGGAUCGGCUAACUUCGUGCCAGCCGCCGCCGUAA
rnacentral:rRNA from 1 species